rnacentral:rRNA from 1 species
UACGGAGGUGGCAAGCGUUGCUCGGAAUCACUGGGCGUAAAGGGCGCGUAGGUGGUUCUGUAUGUCUACCGUGAAAGCGUACGGCUCAACCGUAUUUUGUCGGUGGAAACUGCAGGACUUGAGGCUGGGAGGGGCUGGUGGAAUUCCCUGUGUAGCGGUGAAAUGCGUAGAGAUGGGGGAGAACACUCGUGGCGAAGGCGGCCAGCUAGACCAGUUCUGACACUGAGGCGCGACAGCGUGGGGAGCAAACAGG